AUUGAACGCUGGCGGCAGGCCUAACACAUGCACGUCGAGCGAGCGGCGGACGGGUGAGUAAUGUAUGGGGACUGCCCGAUAGAGGGGGAUAACUACUGGAAACGGUAGCUAAUACCGCAUACUAUCGGCUAACCCAAAUGGGAGUAGCUAGUAGGUGGGGUAAUGGCGCACCAAGGCGACGAUCCCUAGCUGGUCUGAGAGGAUGAUCAGCCACACUGUGCAUUGGAAACGGGCCAGACUCCUACGGAGGCAGCAGUGGGGAAUAUUGCACCAUGGUCGCAAGCCUGCUGCAGCCAGGCCGCGUGUAUGAAGAAGGCCCUAGGGUUGUAAAGUACUUUCAGUCGGGAGGCGUUACCGACAGAAGAAGCACCGGCUAACUCCGUGCCAGCAGCCGCGGUAAUUC
rnacentral:rRNA from 1 species